UACGUUCCCGGGCCUUGUACACACCGCCCGUCACACCACGAAAGCUGGUCGAACCAGAAGCCGGUGACCCAACCUUCGGGAGGGAACCGUCCAAGGUUUGGCUGGUGAUUGGGGUG
rnacentral:rRNA from 1 species